AUUAAUUCACCAACAAGUCUUUAACUGUGUUUAUUCCUUUCAUCAUCAACAAUAAAUCAAGUAAGUUUGAAAACAUUUGAUCAUUAUUUGCCAAAGUUAUAAGGGGGGAACCAUAUAGUUUAGCCACCUGAAAUAAUCCGUUCCCCCUCCAAAACACAGGAACAAAUUAAUUUACAAGUCUUUAAGUGUGUUUACUCCUUUCAUCAUCAAUAAUAAAUCAUGUAAGUUUGGUAGCAUUUGCUCUUUAUUUGACAAAGUUAUGAGGGGGGAACAAUUCUGGGAAUUAACAAUCAACACCACCACAGACGUUAGUGGUAAUAAAUGUUUUUAAACUCUAAAAACAAUCUAUAUCAUACUUAUCACAUAGACAAAAACCACAUGAAAACUGUCGAAUGCCCACUUUCUAGGUGAUCUACCCACAAGAGAAAAAGUCUUUGUUCUUGAAUCCACUGGGGGAAUCAAAACAAGACAUCCAGAAAUGCUUGCAAAUCACAAGGUAUGGUUAAAAAUGUAAGUUUAACUCAAGUAUGAAAAUCAAAUAAAGUUGUUCUUAUUAAUAUAUCUAUAUUUACAGGGCAUUUAUGAGGAAGAAGGGGUGCAAUGUCUAACGUUGGACAUGUGACACAGUCAAGCAUCCAAAACAACAAGAUAGUUCAUCAUGUGGUGGAUUUUCACUGAAGGUUUCAGACAUAUUGUCACACAGUGUAUGACUUUAGGAUUUUGAUAUAUAUUUUGAGACAUGUACAGUGAAUUACUUUCUUUGUUACUUAAAUUUAAAGCCAUUAAAUGAAGCUGUUCAUUUCAGUUUGCAGAAAAAAUCCUGUCAAAAGAGGUUGUGGAUUUUCCUGUUUCCAGAGAGGCGGUCCACAGCAUGAGGUUGGAAAUUGCUGUGAGACUAAUCCUUAACAGUGGUGAGGAUAACAUUAAUAUUCUUAUUUUGAGUGUUUAUGACAAUUGUUAUCAUGAUUACUAUUAUUUGUAUGUUUGGCUAAAACAUCUGUACUUAGCCAAACUUAAUACAUUAACAUGGACUCUGAAAACAUUUAUUUAAGGAAAUUGUUUGUCUACAAAUUAAUAAGUACAAUCAUUUCAUCUUCUAUAUUUUUUUCAUAAAUGACUGUGUUGGUGCUUAGCACAUCCUGUGUAACAGUUUCAUACACACACACAUAUAUACGGUCACAAUUGUACAUGUAUAAUCGUGUGUGUGUGUUUUUAUACUUUUGUUGUUAACAGAGGACCUAAAAGACUUGUGUCACUUCUGUGGAGAGAUGGAAAGUGACACGGAUGUGAACUGGAUCCAGUGUGACGUGUGUCUGAGGUGGUUCCAUCAUGCGUGUGUGGGAAGCCCAUCAACUGAAAAAACAUAUCACUGCUUUGCGUGUUUGCCUUAGUUGCCUUUGUUCCUGAGUUUGCUGUGGUGUGCUUGUUUAUGUAUGUUGUUUAAUGGUUAAUAAAUUACAUUUUGAAAACUGUUU